UUGAACGCUGGCGGCAGGCCUAACACAUGCAAGUCGAGCGGAUGAAGGGAGCUUGCUCCUGGAUUCAGCGGCGGACGGGUGAGUAAUGCCUAGGAAUCUGCCUGGUAGUGGGGGAUAACGUCCGGAAACGGGCGCUAAUACCGCAUACGUCCUGAGGGAGAAAGUGGGGGAUCUUCGGACCUCACGCUAUCAGAUGAGCCUAGGUCGGAUUAGCUAGUUGGUGGGGUAAAGGCCUACCAAGGCGACGAUCCGUAACUGGUCUGAGAGGAUGAUCAGUCACACUGGAACUGAGACACGGUCCAGACUCCUACGGGAGGCAGCAGUGGGGAAUAUUGGACAAUGGGCGAAAGCCUGAUCCAGCCAUGCCGCGUGUGUGAAGAAGGUCUUCGGAUUGUAAGGCACUUUAAGUUGGGAGGAAGGGCAGUAAGUUAAUACCUUGCUGUUUUGACGUUACCAACAGAAUAAGCACCGGCUAACUUCGUG
rnacentral:rRNA from 1 species